UACGGGGGGGGCAAGCGUUGUUCGGAAUUACUGGGCGUAAAGGCUCGUAGGCGGCCAACUAAGUCAGACGUGAAAUCCCUCGGCUUAACCGGGGAACUGCGUCUGAUACUGGAUGGCUUGAGGUUGGGAGAGGGAUGCGGAAUUCCAGGUGUAGCGGUGAAAUGCGUAGAUAUCUGGAGGAACACCGGUGGCGAAGGCGGGUCUCUGGGCCGAUAUUGACGCUGAGGAGCGAAAGCGUGGGGAGCGAACAGG
rnacentral:rRNA from 1 species